rnacentral:lncRNA from 1 species
UCAACCCAAUCCUUUGAAAUGGCUCACUUCCCAUUUAAACCCUAUUAAUCUUUUACUUCAUGAAGGCAACAGGUGGUUUAGAAAAGAGCCAAUAGAAAGAUAAUUUUUGUCCUUCAGGAUCAGUGCCAAUGGAAAAAAGUGACCUGAAAUACAGAUCUCAGACCUGACAUGAUGAAAAUCUAAUGCCACAGCUGUUGUCUCUCAGAACUGUCACUCAUCAUGUUUUAAUUUCACAGUUUUGAUUUAAUCUUUUCUAAAUACAGCACUGGAUAAAUACAGAACAAGAUAACAAGAGUUCCCAGCAAAGGAGCCAGGCAGGAAUGCAGUGGUGCCAUCUCUGCUCAAUAUAGCCUCAACUUCCUGGGUUCAAGCAAUCCUCUCACCUCAGCCUCCUAAGUAGAUGGGACUACAGGCAUGUAA